GAUGAACGCUAGCGGCAGGCUUAACACAUGCAAGUCGAGGGGUAGAAGUCUUCGGACUUUGAGACCGGCGCACGGGUGCGUAACGCGUAUGCAAUCUGCCUUGUACAAAGGGAUAGCCCAGAGACAUUUGGAUUAAUACCUUAUAGUAUAUAGAUGUGGCAUCACAAUUAUGUUAAAGAUUUAUCGGUACAAGAUGAGCAUGCGUCCCAUUAGCUAGUUGGUAUGGUAACGGCAUACCAAGGCAAUGAUGGGUAGGGGUCCUGAGAGGGAGAUCCCCCACACUGGUACUGAGACACGGACCAGACUCCUACGGGAGGCAGCAGUGAGGAAUAUUGGUCAAUGGGCGCAAGCCUGAACCAGCCAUGCCGCGUGCAGGAUGAAGCAUCUAUGGUGUGUAAACUGCUUUUGUACGGGAAGAAACACCUCUUCGUGAAGAGGCUUGACGGUACCGUAAGAAUAAGGAUCGGCUAACUCCGUGCCAGCCGCCGCCGUAACAC
rnacentral:rRNA from 1 species